AGAGUGAAUAAAACCAGAAAAUGAAAAUCGAGUGGCCAGGUUGGCAUUGCUUUCUGCUCAUAGCUCUAAGUACAAGUUCAGUUUUGACAGCACAGUUUGGUGAGACUAGAGAUGGUACUAACGAAAUCACACCGGUUGUGUUAUCGAUUGCUUACCUCUGGCGUAACUGCUCCUAUCUCCUCUUCACUGACGGCGAGACCUCGGGCUAUGGAGCCCUGGCCAAGGACAUGGCCAAGUCACUGGAGUUCCAAGGGACAGCCCUAUUCGACAACUCUGCCGAAGGAACCAGCGACAAUUUCACCGUCAGCGACAGAAUGACAAGUGUCGCCAGAGAGGUGAGUUUCUCUCUCUCUCUCUCU